GACGAGCGUGUCUCGGUCCUGCCAGGGGUUCUGAGCAGCACACAACAACAUCCACUAUGAAAUGUGGUGUGUGCUGGAUGAGGGCUGACUGAGGAGCUCGGGAGUAGGAGUGAGGCAGGCUGUUUUAAAGAGGUGGCGAGGGAAGGCCUCUCUGAGCAAAAGCAGAGACUUUGGGCAAAGACUUGAUUGGUGUGAGGAAGCGAGCCAUUCAAAGUCAAGGGCACCAGAGGUUCUAAGCAGAGGAAACAGCAAAUGGAAAGCAGAGAACAAGCUUGGCACAUUUGAGAACCAACAAUAAGUCCAGUGUGUCUGGAGCCACAAGAGUCAAGGAGAGAGCAGCUGGCGGUUCAGCCAAUGGGGUACCAGAAAACCAGAUGGCAGAGAGCCUGAUAGACCAUGGUACAAGCAUAUGGGAAACUGCAUUCCAAUCCAGGGAAGUAUAGGAAGCAGUAAUAAAAGUGGAAAGACCUAUUACGAGUUCGUUGCAGUCAUCCAGCUGCUGAUUUUCUCUUGAGGGCUCACCCCCCUGGACUCUGGGUGGUCCUGGGAGGGUAUGAACCCUGUAUCCUGACUCCCAUCACUGAGGCCAAGGGUCUGGACCCCUCCUCCUCCUCCUGCCCCAGCACAGCGGGGAACCUGGCAGGACAGCUGUCCUCUGGGACUCUUGAGUUCACUCACUUCAGCCACCAAGCGCUUACUGUGUUUCCAGCAAAGGGCAGUUCCUGCGGCUUCUACUUCCCCUCUCCUAGGUGCCAGGGUUACUGCCUGUCCUCCAGCCUUCCAUGGCAUCACUGUCUCUCCAGAUCAUCUCAUUCAAUUCUCUCAUUGCUGCAGUGAGCCUGGAUGGUUUUCUGCUGCCGACAACAAAAAACCCCAACUGAUACCCUUCCCCUUCCCCAAGGUCGCUUACCCAGGGCAAGGUCCAGCCUGAGAUUUGAGUUCCUACUGAGUCCCCUACAGGAGCACAGCUCUGAGCUGAAUUAUGCCUCUCUCCAGGUUCAUUCCUAACCCCUGAGACCUCAGAAUGGGACAGUAUUUGGUCACACGCUCUUUAUUGAGCUAAUACAGGUUAAAUAGUUUACUGAGGGGAUCCUCAUCCAAUACCACCGGUGUCCUUGUAAGAGGAAAUUGGGACACAUGUUAGUGUGCAGUGGGAAGACCAUGUGAGGAUGGACAGAGAAGCUCGGCCAUCUGCAAGCCCAGGAGAGAGACUCAGAACAAAUCAAUCUGUGGACGCCUUGAUCUUGGACUUCUAGCCUCCAAAACUGUGAGAAAAUACAUUUCUGUUGAGUAAGCGGCCCAGCCUGUGGUCCUUUGUCAUGGCAGCCCCAGCAGAUGAGUGCAGGCCGCACUUCCCACUGCCAUGGUGCCACUGUCUGUGGACAGCAUGCCAGCUUCAUCACACGAGUUAUCCCUGAAGAUGCUCAAAUUAACAGGCUGUUCUUAGAACCAAAUUUCCUGGACAGGCUUCAGAAAACAUUCUCUCUGGUGAUACAGACAUCCGAAAGACACACACACACACAUACACCCCAAAAAAACAAAAAACAAACAAACAAAAAUACCAAAAACCCAUGACCAAAAAAUGGACCUUUCUCCCCUUUCAUUUCUUUAGUAAUGGACAGCGCCCAGAAGAGCAGGAUAGAUGGCUCCUUGGAGAAAACAGAAUCAUUUCUUAAUAAACAAAUGAGAAUUUAGAGCCCAAGUUGACAAGGAAUUUAAUCUUGUUCUCCCAGCAUCCGCAUGGAGGAGGGAAGCAAGCAGAGGCAAAGACAGACAUCGCGGUUCCCCUUGAUUCUAAUAUUGGGUUGGACGGGGGAGGGCGAAGAUCUGCGUGCCGAGCUCCCUUUCUCCACCCACGCCCGUCCUGGCAUACACUCUCAGCAAAGCCUCACCGGGUUCCCCCUGCAAGUAAUUGCAGAGGUCUCCUGGGGACAAUAACCCCGAUGUUACCUCUUGGAGGGUCAGAGGGAAGUGCUUAGGGCUGAGGGAAUGCAAGAGGGUGGAGGCCAAAGGGCUGAAUAUUAAUGGGGGCUAUCACCACCAGCUCUUAAGGUAAUGGAAAAGCCCUCUGCAGAGCCAGGCUGGGGACGGCCUCACACGGAAAUGCAAUCUUCUGCAACACAGAGUAGGCAGUGACAAGCAGUUUAUCUUCCAUUACUCCAAAGCCUUAAAUCAUUAUCAACCCGAAGCCAGCAAAAAAAACCAAACCACUGACUCCAAUGUCUCCUUAUCUUCCCAGCAAAUAUAAAUGUGUACGACAUUGAGGCACCUGUGUUAGGGGUUGAACGGUAUCCCUUAACCCCCCACCCCCAGAAAGAAAGCUAUGUUGGAGUUCUACUCUCAGUACCUCAGAAUAUGACCUUAUUUAGAGACAGGACCUUAACAGAGGUAAUCAUGUUAAAAUAAGGUCCUUAGGGUGGGCCCUAAUCGAAUGUGACUGGUGUCCUUAUAAGAAGGAGAACUUGGGCUGGGUGCCAUGGCUCACGCCUAUAAUCCCAGCACUUUGGGAGGCCAAGGCAGGAUGAUCACUUGAGGCCAGGAGUUCGAGACCAGCCUGGGCAACAUGGUGAAACCCCAUCUCUACUAAAAAUACAAAUUAGCUGGGCAUGGUGGUGGGCACCUGUAAUCCCCGCUACUCAGGAGGCUGAAGUGGGGGAAUGGCUUGAACCCAGGAGAUGGAGGCUGCAGUGAGCCAAGAUCGCACCACUGCACUCCAGCCUGGGCGACUGAGUGAAACCCUGUCUCAAAAAAAAAAAGAAAAAAGGAGAACUUGAACACAGAGACACAUACAGGGAGAGCACUGUGUGAAGAUGCUUCUGUAAGUUAAGGCACACCAAAAAUUGCCAGUGAACCUCCUGACGCUGAGGGAAGGCCUGGAAAAGAUGCCCCCUCACAGGCC